rnacentral:rRNA from 1 species
AGAGUUUGAUCCUGGCUCAGGACGAACGCUGGCGGCGUGCUUAACACAUGCAAGUCGAGCGGAAAGGCCCUUCGGGGUACUCGAGCGGCGAACGGGUGAGUAACACGUGAGCAACCUGCCCUUGACUUUGGGAUAAGCCUAGGAAACUGGGUCUAAUACCGGAUAUGACCCCUGGUCGCAUGACUCGGGGGUGGAAAGUUUUUCGGUUGGGGAUGGGCUCGCGGCCUAUCAGCUUGUUGGUGGGGUGAUGGCCUACCAAGGCGACGACGGGUAGCCGGCCUGAGAGGGUGACCGGCCACACUGGGACUGAGACACGGCCCAGACUCCUACGGGAGGCAGCAGUGGGGAAUAUUGCGCAAUGGGCGGAAGCCUGACGCAGCGACGCCGCGUGGGGGAUGAAGGCCUUCGGGUUGUAAACCUCUUUCAGCACCGACGAAUUCAGACGGUAGGUGCAGAAGAAGCGCCGGCUAACUACGUGCCAGCAGCCGCGGUAAUACGUAGGGCGCAAGCGUUGUCCGGAAUUAUUGGGCGUAAAGAGCUCGUAGGCGGUUUGUCGCGUCGAGUGUG